CGGAAGACAAGCUGAUAGCCUAGCUCGGUAGCACUGCUGCGUGAGACAGUAACGUUACGAUGCCAAGGUAGCGAAUGAAGGAAGGGGGGAGUUCUGAAAGAAUGGUGGAGAUACAGAAAGGUCUGCGGUCAUCUGCCUUUGGCCUAAUGGGCUCCCAAGUGGCGCAGCGGUCUAAGAUGACCUGAGCCCUAGGACCAUGCCUCAGGACUACCUGACAUGAUGACUCCUUGCUGUCCCCAGUCCACCUGGCCAUGCUGCUGCUCCAGUUUCAACUGUUCUGCCUGUGAUUAUUAUUAUUUGACCAUGCUGGUCAUUUAUGAACAUUUGAACAUCUUGGCCAUGUUCUGUUAUAAUCUCCACCCGGCACAGCCAGAAGAGGACUGGCCACCCCACAUAGCCUGGUUCCUCUCUAUGUUUCUUCCUAGGUUUUGGCCUUUAUAGGGAGUUUUUCCUAGCCACCGUGCUUCUACACCUGCAUUGCUUGCUGUUUGGGGUUUUAGGCUGGGUUUCUGUACAGCACUUUGAGAUAGCAGCUGAUGUAUGAAGGGCUAUAUAAAUACAUUUGAUUUGAUUUGAAAUGUCCUCAUGUGUGCUACCUAUAUCCCACCAAUAUAAUCCCCAUACUUUAAUGAUGACAGCUUCUCCAUCCUAGAUGGGGAGAACAACCAUUUCCAGGCCAAGGGACAUGUACUAGUCUGUGGCAAACCUAAAUGCCAGAACUGGACAAGAACCUGACACUCUCAGCACACAGGGAGACAAACACCUACCUGGAGGUGACAGUAUGCCCUCCCAAAUAUGCCCCCCUAGACACAACUAUGACAAAACAACCAAGAAAAUGUGUCACAACUCCUGCAGCUUGGUCGCACGCUGGGUGUGUACAUAGUCAAUGUUAGGCUUUGAGGAGAUUCCUAUGGUAGGUACACCUCCAGCACAUCCAUUGGCAGCAGUGCUGUAGUUGGGUGCUAUAAAAAAGAUAAUCAACAACAUCAACCACCGGAGCCACUGCCUGUUCACCCCGUUAUCAUCCAGAAGGCGAGGUCAGUACAGGUGCAUCAAAGCUGGGACCGAGAGAUAGAAGCUAUUUUUCAAUCUCAAGGCCAUCAGACUGCUAAACAGCCAUCACUAGCACUUCAGAGGCGGCUACAGACAUAGAUUAGGAAUCACUGGCCACUUUUAGAAAUGGAUCUCUAGCCACUUUAAUAAUGUCUUCGUCUCUUCCAUUACUAAUCUCAUCUGCAUAAACUGCAAUCCACACUAUUCUACAGUAUCUUAGUCACUUUUCAAUUGUGUUUACAUAUUGCAUCAGCCAUUUCAUAUGUAUAUACUGUAUUGCAUUCUAUACUAAACCACUGACUGUUAAACAGCCAUCUCCAGCACAUCAGAGGCUGCUGCCUAUAGACAGAUUAGGAAUCACUGGCCAUUUUAAGGAAAUGGAUCUCUAGCCACUUUAAUAAUGUCUCCGUAUCUUGCAUUACUCAUCUCAUAUGUAUAAACUGUACUCUAUACUAUUCUACGGUAUCUUAGUCAAUUUAAUUGUGUGUAAAUAUUGCAUCACCCAUCUCGUAUGUAUAUACUGUAUUUUAUACUAUGCCACUGUGCUUAGUCCAAUGCCACUCUGACAUAUACAGUUGAAGUCGGAAGUUUACAUACACUUAGGUUGGAGUCAUUAAAACUCGCUUUUCAAACACUCCACAAAUGUCUUGUUAACAAACUAUAGUUUUGGCAAUCGGUUAGGACAUCUACUUUGUGCAUGUGUAGCCGAUGUGAAAUGGCUAGCUAGUUAGCGGCGGUGCGCGCUAGUGGCGUUUCAAUCGGUGACGUCACUUGCUCUGAGACCUUGAAGUAGUGGUUCCCCUUGCUCUGCAAGGGUCGCGGCUUUUGUGGAGCGAUGGGUAACGAUGCUUCGAGGGUGACUGUUGACGUGUGCAGAGCGUCCCUGGUUCGCGCCCAGGUCGGGGCGAGGGGACGGACGUAAAGUCUAUACUGUUACACAUGACACAAGUCAUUUUUCCAACAAUUGUUUACAGACAGAUUAUUUCACUUAUAAUUCACUAUAUCACAAUUCCAGUGGGUCAGAGGUUUACAUACACUAAGUUGACUGUGCCUUUUUGUGUCAUGGCUUUAGAAGAUUCUGAUAGAUUGGAGGUGUACCUGUGGAUGUAUUUCAAGGUCUACCUUCAAAUGCAGUGCCUGUUUGCUUGACAUCAUGGGAAAAUCAAAAGAAAUCAGCCAAGACCUCAGACAAAAAUUGUAGACCUCCACAAGUCUGGUUCAUCCUUGGAAGCCAUUUCCAAACGCCUGAAGGUACCACGUUCAUCUGUACAACAAUAGUACACAAGGAGAAACACCAUGUGACCACGCAGACGUCAUACCGCUCAGGAAGGAGACAUGUUCUGUUUCCUAGAGAUGAAUGUACUUUGGUGCGAAAAGUUCAAAUCAAUCCCAGAACAAUAGCAAAGGACCUUGUGAAGAUGCUAGAGGAAACAGGUACAAAAGUAUCUAUAUCCACAGUAAAACGAGUCCUAUAUCGACAUAACCUGAUAGACCACUCAGUAAGGCUGCUCCAAAACCACCAUAGAAAAGUCAGACUACGGUUUGCAACUGCACACGGGGACAAAGAUCGCAUUUUGGGGAGAAAUGUCCUCUGGUCUGAUGAAAGAAAAAUAGAACUGUUCGCCCAUAAUGACCAUCGUUAUGUUUGGAGGAAAAAGGGGGAGGCUUGCAAGCAGAAAAACACCAUCCUAACCGUGAAGCACAGGGUGGCAGCAUCAUGUUGUGGGGGUGCUUUGCUGCAGGAGGGACUGGUGCACUUCACAAAAUAAAUGGCACCAUGAGGAAGUAAAAUCAUGUGGAUAUAUUGAAGCAACAUCUCAAGAGAUCAGUCAGGAAGUUAAAGCUUGGUCGCAAAUGGGUCUUCCAAAUGGACAAUGACCCCAAUCAUACUUCCAAAGUUGUGGCAAAAUGGCUUAAGGACAACAAAGUCAAGGUAUUGGAGUGGCAAUCACAAAGCUCAAACCUCAAUCCCAUAGAAAAUGUGUGGGCAGAACUGAAAAAUUGUGUGCGAUUAACGAGGCCUACAAACCUGACUCAGUUACACCAGCUCUGUCAGGAGGAAUGGGCCAAAAUUCACCCAACUUAUUGUGGGAAGCUUAUGGAAGGCUACCCAAAACAUUUGACCCAAUUUAAACAAUUUAAAGGCAAUGCUACCAAAUACUAAUUGAGUGUAUGUAAACUUCUGACCUAGUGGGAAUGUGAUGAAAUAAAUAAAAGCUGAAAUAAACCAUUCUCUCUACUAUUAUUCUGACAUUUCACAUUCUUAAAAUAAAGUGGUGAUCCUAACUGACCCAAGACAGGGAAUUUUUACUUGGAUUAAUUGUCAGGAAUUGUGAAAAACUGAGUUUAAAUGUAUUUGGCUAAGGUGUAUGUAACCUUCUGACUUCAACUGUAUGUAUAUAUAUUCUUAAUCCAUUCCUUACUUAGAUUAAUGUGUAUGUUGUGAAACUGUUAGAUAUUACUUGUUAGAUUUUACUGCCCUGUCGGAGCUAGAAGCACAAGUAUUUCGCUGCCCCCCCAAUAACAUCUGCAAAACACGUAUGUGACCAAUAAAUGUGAUUUAACAUUUCAAAUGUCCUUCAGUGUAACUGUCCGGGUUAAAGAUCGAAUAACAAAAGUGUUUUUAAAAUGUAGUAAUUCAUCCUAAAAAUAUAAAUUAACACCCAUGGCAUAAUUGUGUUAGUGUUUGCAACAAUAUAUAGGAUAAUGGGCAACAUACUGUAUCUAAAAAAUAUUGAAAAACUUGAAUAACUUUUGUCUGGCUUUUGCGCUUCAUCAAUGUCAUUCAGUAUAUGGCAAUGUAAACAUAUUUCCCAUGCUAAUAAAGCCCCUUGAAUAGAGAGAGAGAGUCAUAUCAAAAGUCUUACUUCAGACAGCAUUUUCAAGUUUAGGGACCUCAUUCAGAAACACAUUCUGUGUUGUCCCAUACCUAAUGUUGUCCCCAGGCUCAAUUGCUACCGCAUAUAGACAGGUUGACAGAGAGCCGGGAGGUGGAUGACAUUAUCCCAUACCUAUAUAUUGUCCCAAGGACAUCAUACCUAUUUGUUCAUAUUUGUCCAAGGAACAUUUUUAAUUAUCAAAUCAAAUCAAAUCAAAUGUUAUUUGUCACAUACACAUGGUUAGCAGAUGUUAAUGCGAGUGUAGCGAAAUGCUU